rnacentral:rRNA from 1 species
CCUANGGGAGGCAGCAGUAGGGAAUAUUGGACAAUGGGUGCAAGCCUGAUCCAGCCAUGCCGCGUGCAGGAAGAAGGCCUUCUGGGUCGUAAACUGCUUUUGCCGGGGGAUAAAAUAGCUUUGCGAAGCGAAUUGAAGGUACCUGGUGAAUAAGCCACGGCUAACUACGUGCCAGCAGCCGCGGUAAUACGUAGGUGGCAAGCGUUGUCCGGAUUUAUUGGGUUUAAAGGGUGCGUAGGCGGUCAAAUAAGUCAGUGGUGAAAUACGGCAGCUUAACUGUCGAGGUGCCAUUGAUACUGUUUGACAUGAGUACUGAUGAGGUAGGCGGAAUGGACGGUGUAGCGGUGAAAUGCUUAGAGAUCGUCCAGAACACCGAUAGCGAAGGCAGCUUACUAAGGAGUAACUGACGCUGAGGCACGAAAGUGUGGGGAUCAAACAGGAUUAGAUACCCUUNUANUC